rnacentral:tRNA from 1 species
ACUUAUAUAGCUUAUAAUAAAGAGCAUUGCAUUGAAGCUGCUAAGGAAACAGUUAUGUUUAUAAGUA